GUCGAACGGUGUCUUCGGACAUAGUGGCGCACGGGUGCGUAACACGUAUGCAACCUACCUUACAUUGGGGGAUAGCCUUUCGAAAGGGAGAUUAAUACCGCAUAAGACAGUAGUCUGGCAUCAGACAGCUGUUAAAGAUUUAUCGAUGUAAGCUGGGCAUGCGUCCAAUUAGUUAGUUGGCGAGGUAACAGCUCACCAAGACUAUGAUUGGUAGGGGAACUGAGAGGUCAAUCCCCCACACUGGCACUGAGAUACGGGCCAGACUCCUACGGGAGGCAGCAGUAGGGAAUAUUGGGCAAUGGACGCAAGUCUGACCCAGCCAUGCCGCGUGCAGGAAGAAGGCGUUAUGCGUUGUAAACUGCUUUUAUACAGGAAGAAACGACUCUUGCGAGAGGCAUUGACGGUACUGUAUGAAUAAGCACCGGCUAACUCCGUGCCAGCAGCCGCGGUAAUACGGAGGGUGCAAGCGUUGUCCGGAUUUAUUGGGUUUAAAGGGUGCGCAGGUGGUUUAUUAAGUCAGUGGUGAAAGACGGUCGCUCAACGAUUGCAGUGCCAUUGAAACUGGUAGACUUGAGUAAAGUAGAGGUGGGCGGAAUUGAUAGUGUAGCGGUGAAAUGCAUAGAUAUUAUCAAGAACUCCAAUUGCGUAGGCAGCUCACUUGGCUUUUACUGACACUCAUGCACGAAAGUGUGGGUAUCAAACAGGAUUAGAUACCCUGGUAGUCCACACUGUAAACGAUGAUAACUAGGU
rnacentral:rRNA from 1 species